UACGAAGGGGGCUAGCGUUGUCCGGAAUCAUUGGGCGUAAAGCGCGCGUAGGUGGCCUCAUAAGUCCGCUGUGAAAGUCAAAGGCUCAACCUUUGAAAGCCGGUGGAUACUGUGAGGCUAGAGUACGGAAGAGGCGAGUGGAAUUCCUGGUGUAGCGGUGGAAUGCGCAGAUAUCAGGAGGAACACCAAUAGCGAAGGCAGCUCGCUGGGACGUUACUGACACUGAGGCGCGAAAGCGUGGGGAGCGAACAGG
rnacentral:rRNA from 1 species